rnacentral:rRNA from 1 species
UACGAAGGGGGCUAGCGUUGCUCGGAAUUACUGGGCGUAAAGCGCACGUAGGCGGCUUUCUAAGUCGGGGGUGAAAUCCUGGAGCUCAACUCCAGAACUGCCUUCGAUACUGGAGAGCUCGAGUCCGGGAGAGGUGAGUGGAACUGCGAGUGUAGAGGUGAAAUUCGUAGAUAUUCGCAAGAACACCGGUGGCGAAGGCGGCCAACUGGACCAUUACUGACGCUGAGGCGCGAAAGCGUGGGGAGCAAACAGG